GUGGGGAAUAUUGGACAAUGGGCGAAAGCCUGAUCCAGCCAUGCCGCGUGUGUGAAGAAGGUCUUCGGAUUGUAAAGCACUUUAAGUUGGGAGGAAGGGCAGUAAGUUAAUACCUUGCUGUUUUGACGUUACCGACAGAAUAAGCACCGGCUAACUUCGUGCCAGCAGCCGCGGUAAUACGAAGGGUGCAAGCGUUAAUCGGAAUUACUGGGCGUAAAGCGCGCAUAGGUGGUUUUGUAAGUUGGAGGUGAAAUCCCCGGGCUCAACCUGGGAACUGCCUCCAAAACUGCAUGACUAGAGUACGGUAGAGGGUAGUGGAAUUUCCUGUGUAGCGGUGAAAUGCGUAGAUAUAGGAAGGAACACCAGUGGCGAAGGCGACUACCUGGACUGAUACUGACACUGAGGUGCGAAAGCGUGGGGAGCAAACAGGAUUAGAUACCCGGGUAGUCC
rnacentral:rRNA from 1 species